AUCCAGCUGACGAGUUCUAGAUAGGACAAAACAAACGUUCUGGAU
rnacentral:hammerhead_ribozyme from 1 species